rnacentral:rRNA from 1 species
AACGAACGCUGGCGGCAGGCCUAACACAUGCAAGUCGAGCGAGAUCUUCGGGUCUAGCGGCGGACGGGUGAGUAACGCGUGGGAAUAUGCCUCUUGGUACGGAAUAGCCUCGGGAAACUGGGAGUAAUACCGUAUGUGCCCUUUGGGGGAAAGAUUUAUCGCCAAGAGAUUAGCCCGCGUUGGAUUAGGUAGUUGGUGGGGUAUGGCCUACCAAGCCGACGAUCCAUAGCUGGUUUGAGAGGAUGAUCAGCCACACUGGGACUGAGACACGGCCCAGACUCCUACGGGAGGCAGCAGUGGGGAAUCUUAGACAAUGGGGGCAACCCUGAUCUAGCCAUGCCGCGUGAGUGAUGAAGGCCUUAGGGUUGUAAAGCUCUUUCAGCUGGGAAGAUAAUGACGGUACCAGCAGAAGAAGCCCCGGCUAACUCCGUG